rnacentral:lncRNA from 1 species
GUGGUUUCGUAUUCGCGUGCUCGCCCGGUGUAUAGAAGAUUGACGGCAAGCAAAAGCCUUAAAAGUGGCAAGAUUUAAAUGCUUCUCCGCUAAGCAAGCUAUCUAAGAUCAAAGACAAGUUGGCUCGAGAUCAGAAUACUGUGUGCGACAGUUACUUUUUGAACUGGCAUGGAAGUCACAUUAAUUAAGUAUCACGUCAUAGUGGCCUACAUUUUAU